CACGUAGGGCGCAAGCGUUGUCCGGAAUUAUUGGGCGUAAAGAGCUCGUAGGUGGUUUGUUACGUCUGCUGUGAAAACCUAGGGCUUAACCCUGGGCUUGCAGUGGAUACGGGCAGACUAGAGGUAGGUAGGGGAGAAUGGAAUUCCUGGUGUAGCGGUGAAAUGCGCAGAUAUCAGGAGGAACACCGGUGGCGAAGGCGGUUCUCUGGGCAUUACCUGACGCUGAGGAGCGAAAGUGUGGGGAGCGAACAGG
rnacentral:rRNA from 1 species